CAGGAGGAAGGAACAACUCCAGACGCGCCACCUUAAGAGCUGUAACACUCACCGGGAAGGUCUGUAGCUUCACUCCUGAGCCAGCGAGACCACGAACCCACCAGAAGGGAGAAACUCCGAACACAUUCGAACAUCAGAAGGACCAAACUCCAGACGCGCCACCUUAAGAGCUGUAACACUCACUGCGAGGGUCCGCGGCUUCAUUCUUGAAGUCAGUGAGACCAAGAACCCACCAAUUCCGGACACAGUGGCUGGGAUUACAGGCACGUGCCACCAUGCCUGGCUAGUUUUUGUAUUUUUUGUAGAGACGGGAUUUUGCCAUGUUGCCCAGGCUGGUCUCGAACUCCUGGAGUCAAGUGAUCUGCCUGCCUCAGCCUUCCAAAGUGCUGGGAUUACAGGAAUUUAUUCUCAUUUUACAGAUGAGGAAACUGCAGCACAGAAAGUCUGUUACUUGACCAAAGUUACAUAGGUGAUAAGUGAUAGAAUGGGGAUUUGAACGUAGGCAAUUCUGUCUCAGCCCCAGCUUGUUCUCCCAUUCUAAAGAUCACAUCUUUGACUCAUUUUGUCUGCCUGAUUGCUUAUGGUGAUGCUUGGGGCCACAGGUCCUCACUGCAGACCUCCCAGGGGCAGGAGCCCUGCCCCUGAGCCCUAGACCAGGAGCCUUCCCCCUUCCUCCAAUUUUCAGCCUCUCUGCCCUGGACUCCUCCUUGGGCUGCCACCUAAUGCCAGUCUCCAAACAUUCCAGAUGCUAUCUCUCUGGCGCCCAGACUCUGUGCUGUUCUUCUGAGCUUGGCACUUGAAACUGCUCUGUCCACACUGCUCUGCCUCCAGCUCCUGAUAUGCCUAUUAGUAAGCAACCCAUUUCCAGAAAGUGGCUGGCUCAAACUUUUGACACCCAGGAGAUCAUCCAAACCGUUUUACAUACCACAGAUCACACAGCCACAUGGAGCUGGGAAAUGUGAUCGACUUGAAGAAGAAUGAAUACGGUGAAGAUUGGAAAGAAGACAUGAGCUGAUCAACUUAGUAGGAGUAAGGAAAACCCUUUUUUUUUUUUUUUGAGACAGAGUCUCACUCUGUUACCAGGCUGGAGUGUGAUGGCGCAAUCUCCGCUUACUGCAACCUCCGCCUUCUAGGUUCAAGAGAUUCUCCUGCCUCAGCCUCCCAAGUAGCUGGGAUUACAGGCACACUCCACCAUGCCUGGCUAAUUUCUGUAUUUUUAGGCUGGGGUUUCACCAUGUUGGCCAGGAUGGUUUUGAUCUCCUGACUUCAUGAUCCGCCCGCCUCGGCCUCCCAAAGUGCUGGGAUUACAGGCAUGAGCCACUGUGCCCAGCUGGAAAACAUGUCUUUUAAAUAUCGAAGGAGAAGUGGAUACACACCAAAUCAUUUCUCUUCCCCAUUGUAUCCUAUAGGGAGCCAAAAUACUCACCUUAUAGUAGUGAAAAUCGGAGGAAAUGAUGGACCUGAGGAAAGAUGAGUCUCCAAUAAAGCAGGAUGUGGCUUGUUGUUUCUGAUCUAAUCAGGAGGUUUAGGGGCCGGCUGUGCUGAAAUGAUAUCCAUAAGCCCUAUUUGAGUGGCCCAACUGUAUUUAACCCAACCUGAAUUCACAGAAAAGUUUGUCCUUCUAGAAUCAUAGUACAUGAAGGAGUAAACCUUAAGGGGUAGGGAUGGUUGGAAAAAUUUGUGUGUCAGAUUCCUGAAAGGUUUGAUGAGAUAGGGAGGCUGCAUGUAAAUCUCAAUCUGGUUAUUUACUGGUUGUGUGAACCAGAAAAAAGUGUGCAAAUAAUAACACCUCACAGGAUUGUGGUUUUUUUGGUUGUUGUUGUUUGUUUGUUUUUGUUUUGUUUUGAGACAGGGUCUCCCUUUGUUGUCCAGGCUGGAAUGCAGUGGCACAAUCAGGGCUCACUUGAGUCUUGACCUGCUGGGCUCAGGUGAUUCUCCCACCUCAGCCUCCUGGGUGGCUGGGGCUACAGGUGCACACCACCAUGCCCAACUAAUUUUUUAAAUUUUUUUUUUGUAGAGAUGGGGUUUUGCUAUGUUUCCCAAGCUAUUCUGUAACCCCUGGGCUCAAGUUAUUCUCGACCUUCCAAAGUGUUGGGAUUACAGGUGUGAACCACUAUGCCUGGCCUCAAAGCGUUGUUAAAAGCAUUGAGACACUGUAGGUAAAACACUUAGUGCCAGGCACAUUGUAUGAGCUUAAUACAUGUUAGUUCGUGUUAACACAUAAGCAGUCUGUAGCAUGGGAUGCAAAAACUGAAAUUAUUGCAUGGUUGAACCAUAUAAUGUUGCCAGCAGUCACCUUUGACUUACAAAAAUAGUGAUUUCAUUCUCUUUGUUUCUUCCCUCCUUCCCUCUCUUCCUUCUACCUCUCUCUCUCUCUCUCUCUCUCUUUCUCUCUCUCUCUCAACAGGGUCUUACUCUAUUGCCCAGGCUGGAGUGCACUGGUGUGAUCAUAGCACAUGGCAGCUUCAAACUCCUAGUAGCUAGGACUACAGGCGUGUGCCACCAUGCCCAGCUAAUUUUUAAAUUUGUUGUACAGACAAGGUCUCUCUGCAUUGCCCAGGCUGUUCUAGAACUCCUGUUCAAGCAAUCUUCCUGCCUAGGCUGCCCAAAGUGCUGAGAUUACAGGUGUGAGCCAUGCGCCUGGCCAAUUUCAUAUAUUCCCACUAAACUUUCCUCUUCCUUCCAUAUAUAUAUAAUAUUACAUAUCUUACAUAUGUACAAAAGAUUAUAUAUUCCAUUACAUAUCUUAUAUACAUAUGAAACACAUAUAUAUGCCAUAUAUAUGAUAUGAAAUAUAUAUAGUAACAUAUAUAAACUGGGAGAUAAGGUGAUAAGUUGUAGUACUGUGCCUCACCUGCUCAUUACCCUGUGGUAAGCUCCUUAUGUCUUCAGAGAAUUCCUGGGGCAUGAAUGUGUCUCCUUGUGUAACAAGUGAUCAAUGCUUCUUUAGAAUAAAGAAAAAACCCAAACUAUGAAACAGAACUGGCAUUUUCUAAAAGGACACAAAAGCCAAGGCAAGAACAAAGGAAGCAGUACGGGAAAGUUGGGGUGUGGGGACAACUCUUUCAGAGUGAUAGGAGAGUGUGCCCAGACCUUGGCCCGCCCCGGCCACACUGCUCCCCAGACUACCUGCAUCCAUUCCCACAGUGCGCUCUUUGCUAUCUCCCUUCUAGAAACCAGACUAGGCUGAAAAGCCAGGAUAAAUGGAUAUAGUGCCCCCGAGUCUCUAAUUUCUGGGCACCUCAG
rnacentral:lncRNA from 10 species